rnacentral:rRNA from 1 species
GGAGGGUGCGAGCGUUGUUCGGAAUCGUUGGGCGUAAAGGGGGUGUAGGUGGGCUGUUAAGUCAUGUGUGAAAGCCCUCAGCUUAACUGGGGAAGUGCGCAUGAAACUGACAGGCUAGAGUACCGAAGAGGAAGGUGGAAUUCCCGGUGUAGCGGAGAAAUGCGUAUAUAUCGGGAGGAACACCGGUGGAGAAGGCGGUCUUCUGGUCGGAUACUGACGCUAAAACGCGAAAGCGUGGGGAGCAAACAGGAUUAUAUACCCUGGUAGUCCACGCUGUAAACGAUGGGCACUAGGUGUCCGGGGUAUUGACCCCCUGGGUGCCGCAGCUAACGCAUUAAGUGCCCCGCCUGGGGAGUACGGUCGCAAGAUUA